AUUGAACGCUGGCGGCAUGCCUUACACAUGCAAGUCGAACGGCAACGGGCGUGCGGGUGCCGACGAGCGGCGGGCGGACGGGUGAUACAUACAUCCGUACCCGUCCGGUGGGGGUAGCGAGGCGGACGCAAUCCUGAUUCCUACUACGAACGACGGACGAAUGAAAGGGGGGGCCCGGCGGUGCGCGGGCGGAGGGGGCGGUGGCUGAUUAGCUAGUUGGUGGGUUAAAGGCAUACCAAGCCGACGAUCUGUAGCUGGUCUGAGAGGAUGAUCAGCCACACUGGGACUGAGACACGGCCCAGACUCCUACGGGAGGCAGCAGUGGGGAAUUUUGGACAAUGGGCGCAAGCCUGAUCCAGCCAUGCCGCGUGCAUGAUGAAGGCCUUCGGGUUGUAAACUGCUUUUGUACGGAACGAAAAGCCUUCUUUUAAUACAGGAGGGUCAUGACGGUACCGGAAGAAUAAGCACCGGCUAACUACGUG
rnacentral:rRNA from 1 species